rnacentral:rRNA from 1 species
CCGUGGGACUGCGGAGGACAUUAAUGAAUUUUGAAAGGGGUUGUAGCUGGCCGUCUCUUUGGGGCGGCAUGUGCACGCCCUGAUCACUAUCCAUCUCACACACCUGUGCACACACUGUAGGUUGGCUUGUGAUCGGAGUUACGGUCUUCAUUGACUUUGCUCUGGUUGGAGGCCCUCCUAUGUAUUAUCACAAACUACUUCAGUUUAAAGAAUGUACUCUUGCGUCUAACGCAUUUAAAUACAACUUUCAGCAACGGAUCUCUUGGCUCUCGCAUCGAUGAAGAACGCAGCGAAAUGCGAUAAGUAAUGUGAAUUGCAGAAUUCAGUGAAUCAUCGAAUCUUUGAACGCACCUUGCGCUCCUUGGUAUUCCGAGGAGCAUGCCUGUUUGAGUGUCAUGGAAUUCUCAACUCUAUUUGCUUUUGUGAAUAGAGCUUGGAUUUGGAGGUUUAUUGCUGGUACUUGUGAUCGGCUCCUCUUGAAUGCAUUAGCUCGAACCUUUGCGGAUCAGCUAUCGGUGUGAUAAUUGUCUACGCCGUUGCAGUGAAGCAUAUCAAUGGGCUCGGCUUCCAAUCGUCCUUUACUGGACAAUGACUUUGACCUCUGACCUCAAAUCAGGUAGGAUUACCCGCUGAACUUAAGCAUACUA